rnacentral:siRNA from 1 species
UCGAGUGACGUUUGGAACGAAACU